rnacentral:rRNA from 1 species
GCCGAUGUCAGAUUAGCUAGUUGGUGGGGUAAAGGCCUACCAAGGCGACGAUCUGUAGCGGGUCUGAGAGGAUGAUCCGCCACACUGGGACUGAGACACGGCCCAGACUCCUACGGGAGGCAGCAGUGGGGAAUUUUGGACAAUGGGCGCAAGCCUGAUCCAGCCAUGCCGCGUGCGGGACGAAGGCCUUCGGGUUGUAAACCGCUUUCAGCCGGAAAGAAAUCGCCAAGGCUAAUAUCCUUGGUGGAUGACGGUACCGGAAGAAGAAGCACCGGCUAACUACGUGCCAGCAGCCGCGGUAAUACGUAGGGUGCGAGCGUUAAUCGGAAUUUACUGGGCGUAAAGGGUGCGCAGGCGGUUUUGCAAGCCAGACGUGAAAUCCCCGGGCUUAACCUGGGAACUGCGUUUGAAACUACAAAGCUAGA